AAUGUGUCUCAUCGAGUGGGUGUGAGAGGAAUUGGAGCGCCUUUGCUUUGGUGCACACAAAGCAAAGAAAUCGUCUUUUAUAUGACAAGCUCCACAAGCUAGUUUCUGUCCGCUACAACCUAAAGAUACAUGCUGAAGAAGAUCAAGAGAAAGAUAUAGAUAAUGAAGUUGAUCCAAGUGCACUGCUGCUGGACACAACAAUGUUUGAUGAAGCAAAUCCAAUAAUGGAGUGGCUGAAUGAGGAUGAAGAGGAUCCAAUUGUGGAUGUAGCUGAUGCAGCCAGUGCUGUUUUUGAGAAAAUAAGGCGUCUCAACUCAAGCAGGAAGGAUUCUUAUGUUGGUACAAAAGGUAAUAAGAAGAAAAGAAAGAGGAAUCAUGAUGAGGAGAAUGAGUAUGUCGAAACUGAGAGUGAGGAUGACGAUGAAGAGAAUGAGUAUGUUGAUAAUGAGAGUGAGGAUGAUGAUGGGGUGAGUGAGGAUGAUGAGGAUGAUCAACAAGAUCAGCAAGAGACACAAAUGCAAGUGGAAGAAGAGACACAAGUACAAGCUGAAAAGGAGACAGCAGCAAGUGUUGGCAAUUUGGAGGCUCGUAGAUCUGGACGACUAGUUAGGAAGAAGACCAAGGAAGUGAACAGCCUCUACUCGUAGAUUUGAACUAGGAUAUCAAGAAGCUUUUGGAUGUAUGCAAGCUUGGAGCUACUGUUUUAUAGUAAUGGCAUGUGAAGAAUAUCCAGGGAUAUCAAGAAGCUUUUGGAUGUAGGCAAGCUUGGAGCUGCUGUUUCAGUGUCAUGCUUUGAUGGUUGUCUUUUGGGGCUGUUGUUUCUGUGUAAUCAUUUAAGUUUGUUGGCUGUAACGGACUAUUUAAACUCUGAACUACGCUGUGAUGGUUGAAGUUGGACUGUUAAGGGUUAUGUUGGAGGCAACUUUAUAACUAA